AACUCCGAUUGCGAAGGCAGCGUACCGGCGCCACACUGACGCUGAGGCACGAAAGCGUGGGGAUCGAACAGGAUUAGAUACCCUGGCAGUCCACGCAGUAAACGAUGAAUGCUGGUUGUCCGGGUCGAAUGAGACCUGGGCGGCGAAGCGAAAGCGAUAAGCAUUCCACCUGGGGAGUACGCCGGCAACGGUGAAACUCAAAGGAAUUGACGGGGGCCCGCACAAGCGGAGGAACAUGUGGUUUAAUUCGAUGAUACGCGAGGAACCUUACCCGGGCUCAAACGGGAGCGGAAUGGACCAGAGACGGUUCAGCCUACGGGCCGCUUCCGAGGUGCUGCAUGGUUGUCGUCAGCUCGUGCCGUGAGGUGUCGGCUUAAGUGCCAUAACGAGCGCAACCCCCGCCGGCAGUUGCUAACGGGCAAUGCCGAGGACUCUGCCGGGACUGCCGCCGCAAGGCGAGAGGAAGGCGGGGAUGACGUCAAAUCAGCACGGCCCUUACGUCCGGGGCGACACACGUGUUACAAUGGGCGGUACAGCGGGAAGCCAGGCGGCGACGCCGAGCGGAACCCGAAAGCCGUUCUCAGUUCGGAUCGGAGUCUGCAACCCGACUCCGUGAAGCUGGAUUCGCUAGUAAUCGCGCAUCAGCCAUGGCGCGGUGAAUACGUUCCCGGGCCUUGUACACACCGCCCGUCAAGCCAUGGGAGCCGGGGGUGCUUGAAGUGCGUCGCCGCGAGGCGCGCCCUAGAGCAAAACCGGUGACUGGGGCUAAGUCGUAACAAGGUAACCGUAA
rnacentral:rRNA from 1 species